CAUUUUUGAACAUUACUGUUCGAGAAUAAGUGUUUAUUAAAUUAAAUUGUUUUUGCAGUGCAAUAUUUACUUUGAUGUCUGCUAAUGAGCAGUCCUGCUUAGAACCCCCCCCCCCCCCCUGCAAGUAACGUAUAUUACUUCCAAAGGCUACUGACCAUAUGAUUAAGCAUCUUCAGACAAUUGAAAGCACACUACAUGUGACACAUCAAAUAACAAUAUGCCUGAGGUACAAUAGGUUAUUUUGCACAUAGCAGGGUGGAUACCGUGAUGAACUGACAGUGCCUUUAUCCCUGCUGUAAUAUGAGGCCGGAUAUGGUCCUCAAUAUAUGUAAAUUAUACAGUUUGCCUCUGAGCGCUGCCACGUUCGAUUCGCAUAUAAGAUUCAAAUGACAUUUCCACGUACUUUAACGCAGUAGGUAUUCAAAUUAUGUUUAUUACCACUUUCGACACAUUUUUGUCUACAAUGUAGCAUUCAGCAAUUUUACCCAAAAAAAAAUAGAGGAUGAAGAAUAAUUAUGGUAGCAAUCAAGUUACUGCGAAAACCUAUUUGAUUAGCGGCCACACUUUACUCAAAUUGCAGCUAUAAAAUUAAGAACAAUUCGCCUGUAAUGAUUAUGGACCGGAUUUAUUUUGGGAGGGUGGAAUAAAAGUGGAUAUAGCAUAAAUUAUCCCCUAAUUAUACGCCAGCGUCGCCUCAAUUAUCCUCUUAUCAAAAAUGGUUGUCUAAAUGCAGCGUUUAGUUUUCAAUUUUCUCCUUUUCUGUAACCAGAACUUGGUACCUUGCUAUUAUCGUUCCGGUUGUUAUUUACUUUGUGGGAUUUAAAAAGUGCACAACUCAGCCGGAUAAAUCAUUUUUACAGCAGCGGACCACGAGAGCACAGAGGCAGGGAUGUGAGCCCCAAGAAAGGAUUUAUUUCAUGCUUCCAAAACUCUUCUAUUUUUCGAAAUUAUAUUUUACAAACAGGCUGCCUCUUUUGUCGCCAGGAGCACUGAAGGUACGCCUCCAUCCCCUCUUGGCAGCUACACCCCCCCAAGUCCUCCCUCUCCCUGGUUGGUUUCCACAGCUGUGGUGAGUGAGGGGCAGAUGACCGGAGAAUUGGCCCCUGGGAGAGCGCUGAGCCAUCCUGGUGCUAUUAGGCUCGUGGCUAAUAAUAGGUGUUUCAGACCAGGGGAAGAUCAAUCAGGGGGAAUCAUGGGGAAUGUUCGGAGCAGCGCUUUUUACACAUCGGCCCAGAUGGAUGAAAUUACACUUGUCAGUUUUUAGUUGCAUUACUCCCAAAUUGGUUGUCUGCUCUUCUUUUUCUCUCUCUCUCUCUCCCUUCCUCUCUCUCCCUCCCUCGCUCUCUCUCUUCUCUCGCGUUGCCCUCAUUCAUGUGUCAGUGGCCUGCUAAAGGGAUUCAAUGGUGAAAUCCCUGUCAUUUUUGUCUCUUUGCUGUUUAGCCCUCAGCCAGCGACUCUGUUGCCUGCAGAUGCACUUUGAAGAAAUCCGUUUCAGGUCUGGUCUCAUGACUUGGGGCCUUUGACAUGUUAAAGGCAGGUGUGCAGGUGUCUAAUGUACCUUUUAUUGAUCCUCUAACACAAUUUAUCUGAUAAUCAGUUCAUAAUGUUUCAAAAAUUGCAAUGUUUUGCUUUCGCAUUUGUUUGUUCCGUGUCACAGUUAGCUGGAUACUUUGGUGUUUAUAUAUUGUUGGUUGGACAAAAACAAGUUUAGAAGAUGUCACAUUUUUAAUAAUCCAUGUUUUGUCCUGAGUGUGUAAUAAAGGAUACAAAUGAUGCAUUCUUUAUGUUGAAUUACACAUAUUCGUGUUUAAACCAAACUUAUAAAUGUGUCAUUUUGUUGUAAUCGCAAAAUUAUCUAUUUGUGAUGUAAAUGAGUCUGUCAGGUGGAAAGGAAACUUGUGGUGUAUCUCAUGAAACUGAAUAAAACACACAGUACUCAC